rnacentral:rRNA from 1 species
UACGGAGGGGGCUAGCGUUGUUCGGAAUUACUGGGCGUAAAGCGCACGUAGGCGGCCAUUCAAGUCAGAGGUGAAAGCCCAGGGCUCAACCCUGGAAUUGCCUUUGAAACUAGAUGGCUUGAACACGGGAGAGGUGAGUGGAAUUCCGAGUGUAGAGGUGAAAUUCGUAGAUAUUCGGAAGAACACCAGUGGCGAAGGCGGCUCACUGGACCGUUGUUGACGCUGAGGUGCGAAAGCGUGGGGAGCGAACAGG